CCUACGGGUGACAGCAGUGAGGAAUAUUGGUCAAUGGUCGGGAGACUGAACCAGCCAAGCCGCGUGAGGGAGGAAGGUACAGAGUAUCGUAAACCUCUUUUGUCAGGGAACAAAGACUGGGACGCGUCCCCGGAUGAGUGUACCUGACGAAAAAGCAUCGGCUAACUCCGUGCCAGCAGCCGCGGUAAUACGGAGGGUGCGAGCGUUACCCGGGAUUAUGUGGGUUAAAGGGUGCGCCGGCGGUCGGUUAAGUCAGCGGUCAAAGCCCGGGGGUCAACCCCCGCCCCGCGUUUGAAACUGGCAGUCUCGAGUUGGAGAGAGGUAGGCGGAAGGCGCGGUGUAGCGGUGAAAUGCAUAGAUAUCGCGCAGAAUACUGAUUGCGAAGGCAGCAUGCCGGCUCCACACUGACGCUGAGGCACGAAAGCGUGGGUAUCGAACAGGAUUAGAUACCCUAGUAGUC
rnacentral:rRNA from 1 species